GCAGGUACGCCUAGAAGGGCUUCAUAAGACAUACAGUUUAAGGAUUGCACUUGGCACUUCAAAUCAGGGCUACAGUGAUGCCAGAAAAAGAUGUCUGGAAUGAGAGAGGCGUCCAUCCCCACAGCAAGGGAAUGCCCUACAGGAGGACCUGUGAGGCUGGGCUCAACAGGCAGUACCACCCAACAGGACCUGAGUGGCAGCCCCUCACAACCCACUGAUUGGCUGGUACUAGUACUUAAACCAGGAACCCAGGAAUGGAGCUGCCUUAACAACAACAUACACUGCCUGCCCAUCUCUGCUUGCGAUAGACCCUAGAUUCUGGCAUCUGAUCCUGGCACAAGGGGCAGUGUGGACCAGUGCUUCUCCAGUUUCUUCCCCUACCGUGAAUCCAGUUAUAAGUUGCAACAGAGGGAAUGGAGAGCGGGUAGUGGAAAACAGAUAGGGACUGCACAUCUCAAAGAACCACCAGUUACAAGUAAGUAAUCUCAAUUUUUUCAUUGAGCGAUGGUCUCUAUAUUUAUUCCACACAUGGGAGAUUAGCAAGCAAGAGUCAACAGGAGGUGGAAGCGAGGAUGCAGAAGUGAUGGCUGACUGUAAUACUGCUAUCCCCACAAUUGUAUCUGUAGUAGAAGAUUAGACCAAAGCAUAACGUCUUGUGAAGGUGCCUAAGCAGCUUCAGGUAGCUGCCCUACAUAUCUCUAAUACAGGUAUAUCUCUCAGAGAUGCACGCAGCAAGGUUGUUUUUGCUCUGAUGGAAUGGGCUCUCACCAUCUCAGGUGAACCAGUUGGUAACAUAGGAUAAUGUAGCCAGAGAUUCAUUUAGAAAGUCUCUGAACAGACAUAGCUUGACCUCGAUUUCUCUGCUAUGACAAAAAAAAGUCUAAGUGUCUUUCUAACUGCUUUUGUUCUUUGCGGAUAAAAGGCCACUGCUCUUCAGACAACUAGAUAAUGAAGCCUUCUCACCUCAUCAGAGGCAUGUGGUUUUGGAAAAAACUAUCAGUAAGUGGAUGGUGUGACUUCUGUGAAAUUCUGAAAUUGCUACAGGGAUGAAUUUCAGGAGGCAGCAAAGGGAGACCUUUAUGGAAUGUAAUAUAUAGUCGGUCUGCCAUGACUGUUCCCAGCUUACUGACCCAUCUGGCUGAUGCGAUGAUGAUUAGGAAGACAACUUUAAUCGUGAAAUGAAUAUAGAACAUGCAGCUAAAGAUUCAAAGGGAGGUUUGGUGAGACAUGAAAGAAUGGUGGAAAGGAUCUAAUAAGACCCUUCAGGAAUCUAGUCAUCCUGAGAUGAGUGAAGCUGAUGUGGUCAUUGAUGCAGGGGAUGAAAAGCAUUAAUUGCUACUCAGUGAGCCCGCAGGGAAAUAACAGUGAGGGUCUUACGAGUAAAUAGAUUUUCUAGAAUGGCAGGGAUCACAGUGGACUCUGAAGGUACCUGGCCUUGUUGUGCCCAAAAGGAUAAACACUUCCACUUAACUGAAUAUCAUCUCCUGGUAGAAUCCUUCCUGCUUUGGUUGAGGAUGGAUUGAACUGCCCUGAAAUAUGAAUCCUCUACAUCUGAUUGUACAGUUCUGUGGUGAGUAUCUUGGUGUUGCACUGGAGCAGAAUGUAACCUUUCAACACCUCGAGAACAACCAUGAUAAGGUGAGUUCUUGUGUCAUGCUUAUUAGGAAAUUGGCCAGACCAUCAUGGGGUUCCAGUCCACGGACCUUACGAACCACAACAAUUGCCUUAGUAUAUUCUGCGGCUGAAUACUGUGUGCCAGCAUCAUCUCACAGCAGUCACACUAACCUCCUUGAUACUCAACUAAAUAACGCCACGCGCAUAGUGUCAGGGAUACUCAAAUUGGCUCCGGUCAACUGCCUCCCAGUCCUAUCACACAUCCAGCCUCCACAGAUUAGAAGAGCUACCCAGACAUCUCAUUUUCUCAACCAUGUCAAUGCAAACAUGAGGAUCCCGUUGCCCAAUGACCUACAGAACCCCCCCAAAGAUAAGAUUAAAAUCCCACAAAUCUCUAUGGAACUGCAUCAAGACCCUUAUACUGAACUACAAUGCUGAGGCUCAAUGGAGAGCCACAUGGAGCGUUUCGACCACUCAAAACAAAACAGCUUGGUUGACCCUGUCAAGGAACCACCGAAUUUUGAUUUAUGUUGGAAAGACUGGUGCAGAUUGAAUUGUAUCAGUACAUCUCAUAGGAGAUGUGACAAACCCUCUUUAAAUGGAAAAUUAGCCAAACACCUGUAUGCAACUGUGGUCACCAGGCACAAACGAUGGAGCACAUCAUAUCUGAGUGUUCCCUUCGUUCUUUUGCCGGAGGCUUGAAGGACAUUCACCAGCUCACUGCUGUGGCAAUGUACUGGCUAUCAAAUCCAGAUAUAAAUUUGUAAUUGUUGCUACCUACCCAAGCCAUAUGAAAGAAGAAGUCUACACCAUCAAAAUACCACGCCUUGAGUUGCAGUGGCUCUGGACUGAGAUGCUUGAUAGUGGAAUUGUGUUGUGUUAGCAGGUCCGGAAAUGGUCAGAUGUUGACGGGCAUACGGUUUGAAAGUCUCACUUGUUCCCUGUUCCAGAACCAUGUCAGCUAGCUGGACAUAACAAGGAUGACCCAAGCCCUGUUUUGAUAGAUUUUCUACAGAACCUGUGGUAUUAAUGAGAUGAGAGGGAAGGCAUACCUGAGAUGAUCCUUCCAUGGUAGCAUAAGGGCAUCUCACUUUGAGCCCCUGUCUAGAGCUGCUCUGGAGCCGUACAGGAGACACUUUUUGUUUGCCUGAGAGGCAAAAAGGUCCCAAGACAGCAUUCCCCACUGAUUAAAAGCCUUAUUCAGAACCAAAUUGUGAAUCUCCCACUUGUAGUCCAUGAAAAAAUGUCUGCUGGGGAGUUCUGCACUCCUGGUAAUUAUGCUGCAGAAAGGAUUAUAUGAUGUCUGAAACACCAAUUCCAAUGGUUGGCUGUCUCUCCCACAAAGGAAGGGAUCUUGUUCUCCCUUGCUUGUUUAUAUAGGAGACAGGUUGUCAUAUUGCCUUACAUUAUUUGGAUAUGCCGGGAUUGGCUGCAGGCCUGACAGACAGCUCUUAGUUCCAGUAAAGGGCAAUAUAUCCUGGACUCCCAAGGGGUCCAGUGGUUUUGUACAAUAUGAUCGUCCAUAUGAGUUCCCCUACCUAAGAGGGAGGCCUUGGUAAUGACAGUCACCUCAGGUGUAGGCAUGAGCAAAAAAGUCCCUACUCAAACUUUUUCUGGCUUUGUCCACCAGAUGAGAGAGGCCAGAACCUUGAACAAAAUUAUUACUAUGGCAUUGAUGUUGAUUUUUUCUGGUGAGCAGGCAGACUGAAGGCAGGUUUGCAAGCAAUGAAGAAGGAUCCUGGCAAAUGGUGUCACGUGUGCAUGAGGUCAUGCUGUCAAGGAGGGAAGGCAAGUUCUGACUGAAGUCUGAGGGUGACCUGUUUUAUGAGAUCGCCCGUGGCAUGGAAUCUCUUGAUAGGAAGACAGGAUCUUGCUGUAGUCAAGUGCAGGGUCGCUCCUGUGAAAUUUAUGGACCUCAAAGAAGUCAGAAUGGACUUUUUGUAGUUGACACAAAUUCCCAGGGAAGGUAGUAGACGAAGCAGGAAUCAGGCUGCAAACUGGACUGCCUUGUAUAAUCUGCCCAUCACAAGCCAGUUGUUGAGGUGUGGGAAGACAGUAAAUCCAUUACUUCUCAUUCAACAGCCAUCACUGAAAAGACUUUAGUAAAGACACAGGGGUUCCAUAGCUAGCCCAAAUGGAAGGACCGAAUUGGCAAUGGUCUUAACGAAGGAGGAGCCUGAAGAACCUUCUGUUCGUCAGGUGACUGACUAUGUGAAACUAUGCAUUUUUCACGCCAGGGACAUAAAGCAUGUGACCUCUUCCAGAGAGGCAAUUAUUGACAUCAAUGUAACCUCAUGCAGAAUUUUAAUUUUCAGAUGAAUAUAUUUAGUCAGCAUAGGUCAAGAAUCAGUCCCCAUCCUCCACUCUUUUUGAGAACUUAGGCUUUGUCUACACUUACCCGGUAGUUCGGCGGCG